CAGCGGGUUUUUGCGACGCCAUCCGCGCCUCUUCGAGGCGGCCUCUGGACCGGCUUUAGGACUCCGCGCUUUUGCGGAGCUCGAGAGUCCGGAGCGGCUGGGACAAGGUAGACCCAGGAUAUCGACCUUAACUGCGUUUUCAGUUUGGAGGUUGUGAAAUAGAGUGCUGCCAAUUCUUUGAAAAUAUGAAGCUGGAUGUGGUAGGAAGAACAAGGAUUCUGGCACAAAAAGAUGAUAAAUUGGAUAAACUAUAAAUGGAAAAUGUGGGUGGGCGCUGCAAUUCAGAGGCUUGGGGUCUCUUACAUGGUGAAAGGAUGAACAUGGGAAACUAGUUAAGUUUGUUUCUUGAGUAUCUUCCGUAAUUAUAGAACUAAAGCCUAUCUGGAAGAGACACAACUUGUGUAUAUGUAUGGUCCACCAUUCUCUUUGUUACGUGCAUUCAGUUUUAAGUUCUGCAUUUCAUCGAGUAUGACAAACGUUUCCAUGCUGCUUCAUAAUCCUCACAAUUUUAACAUUUAAUGGUGAGAUAAAAUUCCAUCCAUUAUUGAUGCCUCAGCCAAAGUAAUUGUCCCUCUACUGCACAAUGCGAAGUUUUUAAGUUUUGCUAUGAAAUUAAUAUUGUAAAGAGUAUCUUUUGUGCUUUGGCUUUUUAAAUCUGUUGAAUUACUUUGUUUGUAUAAUUUUCCUGAAAUAGGAAUCUGGGGUCAAAAUAUUCAAAAACAUUUUAACAACUAUAAAUGAUGUUGCUUUCCAAAAUGAACAAACUUACAGCACUAUCAGAAUACACAACCUAACACCAAAUCAUACCAUUUUUUUGCUUUAAAUUCUUUGGUAUGAAAUGUUACCCCUAGGUUACUAUAUUUGUAAUUCUUUGGUUACUAUCAAGAUCUGAUGUUUUUCUUGUGUUUCUAAACUAUCUUUGUGUCCUCUGAUGUAAAUUCUUUGUUUACACAUUUAUGUUUUGCAUAUGAAUUUAAAUAAUAUAUUUAUAAAUAAGUAACAUUAGCCGUUGCCAUAUUUUAUGCUAUUGCUUUUCCCAUUCUCUUGUCUCUCCUUUCCUUUUGUUUCUUUUGCUAUUGCACUUUGUGAGAGGUUUCAUGUAGUCAAAUUUAGGUUUUCCAUUAUGUGAAUCCUAGAAAGUGAAUACACUGCCAGAAUAUCUUCCAUUUAUUCAUUAAUUCAACAGAUAUCUAUUGGAUGCUGAUGAUUAUGAAACAAAGUAGCAAAGAUGAGAAGCCAUUUGCUCAUUCUGCUCUUUUGCCAGCAAUGUUUCACAAAGCCCCUGACUCAUUCACCGUUAGCAGACUUGUGGAAGAAUGCCUUGAAGACCAUGAGCAGGAUAGGGAACAGGUUCUCACAUCUCUUGCCUGAAUCACUGAAUUUUUACAAAAGAGAGGUUCAAUUAAGAGGUUGAAAAGCUUCAGGAAGAAAUUUAAGCUGAAAUGAAAUGAGGGAGUAACAUCAGCAAGAUGAUGAAAAUGGAAGAUCCCCUACUAUCACUCCCUGCAAAAAAAAAUACAACUAGAAACUACUUAAAGAUGAGAACGCAACCCUGAGUUCACCACAAUUCAAGGGAGAAUUGAAGAAACCUCCGGGGCCCUCAGAGAUGAGAGAAGCUGUGACAGGUAAGAAAAAUGGCCAUUUCAGACAUCAUAGCCCCCUCCAUCAAGCUGGCAUAAUGCCACUCAUAGAGAGAAUUUUCCUAGACUCGUGGUUUCUGAGGUAAGAAGAGGGAGUUGGAAGUGGACAUAGAAGUGGACAUACAAUCUCCCCACCAGUCUGGGAAUCUUCUCAGGAAGCCCACUUUUGCCCCAUCCUAUGGGAACAAUGGGAGUGCUAGAGGGCUGAAUUAUAUGGGAUGAACUGAGACAAAGAGUGGGACACUGAUCAUAGCAACUGGCAUGUGGAUCUUGGCAGUUACUCUUCACUCCAAUCAGUAUGGACACCACACUGAAGAGACUGGCUGGCACUAUAGUGCUUUCGUGGACACAGUCUGUGAGAAGGCCUGAACCCCUGGCCAGAUUUCAACAAAGACUAGGAGUUCCCAUGGAGCCUCCACUGGACCAGAAACAACUAGAAACGUUGGGACUGAGUUCCAGUGACUGCUUAAGUCUUCCACAACCUGGGAGACAGUGGCAGGGCAGCAAUAUAGCUCCAGGGCAUUGUUAACUUAGUGCUCACUAUAAGUCUUCCCCAGACUGGGAAACAGUGGCAGGACGAAAGUUAGUUCCAGUGCAGUGAUUUAGUUCUGGUACUCACUAUAAAUUCUCCCCACCCCAGAAAAUAAUAAUAAUAAUAAUAUCAGCAGUUAAGUUCUGAUACUAAGUAAUAAAGGUCUAACACCAAAGAACACACCUGCAAGAACUGGAAGAGGUAGCUAUCUCCUGAAAUGUACAGGUAUUAAGGCAAAGCCACAAGAACUGUAAAAACUCAGAGAAAUAUGACCUUACCAAAAGAAAUCAACAAAGCUCCCGCAGUGGAGCCAGAAGAAGUGAAGAUCUAGGAAAUGUUAAACAGACAAUUCAAAAUAAUCCUCUUAAAUUUAGAGAAUCACAAGAAAAUAUGGAUAGGAAAAAAAAAUAAAAUUUGGAAAGUGACCCAGUAACAAAAUGAGAUAUUUGACAAAGAAAUAAAAGAAAUAAGAAAUGAAACAAACAAAUCCUUUAUUUCUAGGAUUUCUCUGUUUCUAGAAACCCUAGAAAUAAAGGACACAAUAACUAAACUGAAAAACUCAUUAGAAAGUUUUAACAGCAGACUUGAUUAGAGAAAAGAAUUAGUAAGUUUGAAGACAGCACAUAUGAAAUUACCUAAUCAGAGGAGAAAUAAAGACAAAAGAAUUUGAAAGUGUAAAGAGGAACUUUUUAAGAAUUAUGGCACAUGAUCAAGCAAACUAACCUCUGCAUAGUAGGAAUUCCCAAAGGAGGCAAGAGAGAAAAAGGCCUAGAAAACAUAUUUAACAAAACAAUGGUGAAAAUUUCCCAAAGAUGGAGAAAGAGGAUACCAUUCAGAUACAGAAAUCUCAGAGGUCAUCAAUCAAAUUAAACCCAAAGAGGUAAUCCCUAAGGCAUAUCAUAAUCAAAUUAACAAAAAAUCAGAGACAAAAAAUACUCACUGCAGCAAAAGAAAAGAAAAAUAUUACAUUAAACAAAGCACCAAUACAGCUUUCACUGGAUUUCACAGCAGAAAUCCUACAGGCCAGGUGAGAAUGGGAUGCUUGAAAGUGCUGAAAGAAAAAAAAAAAAAAAACUGCCAACCAAGAAUAACGUGUCCAGCAAAGCUAUUAAAACAAGAAGAGAGAUAAAGACUUUUCCAGACAAACAAAAACUGAGGGAAUUUGUCAACACCAGACCUGUGUUACAAGACAUGCUAAAGAGAGUUCUUCAAUCCGAAAGAAAUGUAUGCUAACAUGUAACAAGAAACAAUCUGCAGGUAUGAAACUCAUUGGUAAAAAAAAGAAAACAGACCAAUUCAGAAUACACCAAUAGUGAAAUUAGGGUAAGUAAAUGACCUAUAUCUUAAAUAUGAAGAUUAAAAAACAAAACCACUAAAAAGAAUAAUGACAACAAUUUAUUAAGAGAUGCACAAUGCAAAAAAAGUAAACUGAAACACAAAAAAGUCAAAACGUGGUGAGAGGAUGGUAUUGAAGUGCAGAGUUUGUUGUUUCUUAUAUUUUCUUUGCAAUAAAAUAUAAGUCACUAUCAGUUUAAAAUAGCCUAUUAUAAAUAUAAAAGGGUUUUUGUAAGCCUCAUGUUAACCAUAAAGCAAAAACCUACAAUAUAUAUACUCAAAAUAAAUAGCAUGAAAUAAAAAUGUACUACUAGUGGAAAUCACUUAACCACAAAGGAAGAGAGUGAGAGACGAAAAAGGGAAGAAUUCACAAAACAGCAAGAAGUCAAGUAACAAAAUGGCAGUAAUAAACCCUUACUAUGAAUAAUAACUUUGAAUGUAAAUGAAUCAAAUUUUCCAACCAAAAGACAUAGAGUGGCAAGAUUCAACUGUAUGCCAUCUACAAGUACUUCACUUAAUCUAUAAAGACAUUCACAAAGUGAAGGAAUGAAAAAAGAUAUUUCAUGCAAAUAGAAACCAAAAAGGAACAGGGAUAGGUUUACUAAUAUCAGAUAAACUAGACUUGAAGCCAAGAGUUAUUUUUAAAAUGACAAAAAAGAAGGCCACUAUUUAAUGAUAAAAGGGACAGUACAGUAACAAUACAUAACAAUUGUAAAUAUAUAUGCACCCAAUACUGGAGCACACAAAUAUGUAAAAAAGUUAAUAGACCUAAAGGGAGAGAUUGACUACAAUAAAUAGUAGUAGGAGAUUUCAACACCUCCAUUUUCAGUGAUGACUAGAUCACUCAGACAGAAAAGUAACAAAGAAACAUUGGAGUUAAACUGAACUCUAGACCAAGGGAACAUAACAGAUAUUUUAUGUUAUGCUAUAUUUUAUUUUAUUUUAUUUUAUGUUACAGAUAUUACAGAACAUUCCAUCCAACAGCUGCAGAAUACACAUUUUUCUCAACAGCACAUAGAAGAUUAUCCAGGACAGAUCAUAUGUUAGGUCCCAAAACAAGUCUUGACACAUUUUUUAAAAAUCCAAAUCAUAUCAAGUGCAUUUCUUACCACAAUUAUUCCAAUUAUUCCACCAUUCUGGAAUAAAACUAGAAACCAGUUUUUAAAAAAGGAACACUGGAAAUUGUACAAACUCAUGGAAAUUAAACAACAUACUCCUGAACACUGAAUGGGUCAAUGAAGAAAUUAAAAGGAAAUUUAAAAUUACCUUCAGACAAAUGAAAAUGGAAACAUGACAUACCAAAACCUAUGUAAUAUAUCAAAGCAGUUCUAAGAGCAGUUCUGCAGCAAUAAAUGCCUACAUCAAAAAAGCAGAAAGACUUCAAAUAAACAACCUGAAGAUCACCUCAAGGAACUAGACAAGGAAAAACAAACUGCACUCAUAAUUAGUAGAAGGAAAGAAACAAUAAAGAUGACAGCAGAGUGAAACUGAGACUAAAACAAUACAAAAGAUUGAUGACGCAAAAAUUGCAUUCUUGAAAUAAUAAAUGAAAUUAACAAAACUUUAGCUAGACCAAAGAAAAGGGAGAGGACUCAAAUAAAUAAAAUCAGAAACAAAAAGGGAGAUAUUACAAUGGAUACCACAGAAAUAGAGAAUCAUUACAGAUUAUUAGGAAUAACUGUAUGCCGAUAAAUUGGGAAAACUAGAAAAAAAAAGAUUAAUUCCUGGGCCCUUACAACCUACCAAGAUGCAACCAGGAAGAAAUAGAAAACCUGAACAGACCAAUAACAAGUAAUGAGAUUGAAACAGUAAUAAAAAGUCUCCCAUCAA